rnacentral:rRNA from 1 species
GAAACUUAAAGGAAUUGGCGGGGGAGCACCACAAGGCGUGAAGCUUGCGGUUCAAUUGGAGUCAACGCCGGGAACCUUACCGGGGGCGACAGCAGUAUGAAGGCCAGAUUGAAGGUCUUGCUAGACAAGCUGAGAGGAGGUGCAUGGCCGUCGCCAGUUCGUGCCGUGAGGUGUCCUGUUAAGUCAGGGCAACGAUCGAGACCCACACCUUUAGUUGCUACCGAGGAAAUUUUCCGAGGGGCACUCUAAAGGGACUGCCGUCGACAAGACGGAGGAAGGAGUGGGCUACGGCAGGUCAGUAUGCCCCGAAUCCCCCGGGCUACACGCGAGCUGCAAUGGCAAAGACAAUGGGUUCCAACCCUGAGAAGGGACGGUAAUCUCGAAACUCUGCCUCAGUUUGGAUUGAAGGCUGGAACCCGCUUUCAUGAAAAUGGAAUGCCUAGUAAUCGCGCGUCAUCAACGCGCGGUGAAUACGUCCCCGCCUCUUGCACACACCGCCCGUCGCUCCAUCCGAGUGGGUUUGGUUGAGGCGGGGUUCUUAUUGGCUGCGUCGAAUCUUGGGUUCCCGCAAGGAGGGAAAAAGUCCUAACAA